rnacentral:rRNA from 1 species
CCUACGGGGGGCUGCAGUGGGGAAUAUUGGACAAUGGGCGAAAGCCUGAUCCAGCCAUGCCGCGUGUGUGAAGAAGGCCUUCGGGUUGUAAAGCACUUUCAGUGGGGAAGAAAGCCUUGGGGCUAAUACCCUCGAGGAAGGACAUCACCCACAGAAGAAGCACCGGCUAACUCCGUGCCAGCAGCCGCGGUAAUACGGAGGGUGCGAGCGUUAAUCGGAAUUACUGGGCGUAAAGCGCGCGUAGGCGGUCUGAUAAGCCGGUUGUGAAAGCCCCGGGCUCAACCUGGGAACGGCAUCCGGAACUGUCAGGCUAGAGUGCAGGAAAGGAAGGUAGAAUUCCCGGUGUAGCGGUGAAAUGCGUAGAGAUCGGGAGGAAUACCAGUGGCGAAGGCGGCCUUCUGGACUGACACUGACGCUGAGGUGCGAAAGCGUGGGUAGCAAACAGGAUUAGAUACCCCAGUAGUC